UUUUUUUUUGUAAGUUCCUUGCAAAGUUUAGUGUGUGACACCCCAUCUUCAAAUGGAAUAUAUGGGUGAUUAUAUGCUAGGACACCUGAUCAUUUCCUCUCUGGGUCCGCCCCUGCACAAUGGGAUGCUACAAGUUAGAAGUAACAUAUGAAUGUUAUUUGACCCUUUUUCAUGUUCAAUUUCAGUCAAAUUAGCAGGUAACAAUUUUUCUCGGGAAGUAGUGGAAAUACGGUAACCGGUCUAUUUUGAAAAUCUUGAGAGAGAAAAUAACCUUGUUCACACCACAACACAUCAUGGGAAUAGCUCAUAAUCUCAUACUAACAUGCUCAAGGAGGUCAGGUAAGUGGUACGAUGAGGACUGAUGGGAAGGAGAGGUGCAGAGAAACUCCUAGCCAUAGGUGCUAUGAGAGCCUCAGGGAAGCCACAUGAUGGCGCCGAUAAUGAGUCAAGAUUUCGGCUACCACCAGCAUGAUUGCAUGAAGGCGAGCGAGAGGCCACCAUGUCUCCUUGUCACCUUGGAUCAGCCAUGAUAUCGUCUUGACCAGCAAAUGUUGUCCUCCUGUGCGACUCUAGAAUGAAGGUUGGUCUGAAUAACAGAGAACAUGACUCCAACUAAGGAGAGAACAACAGAGGAUGGUCUGAAGAAUAGAGAACAUGACUACAACUAACAAGAGCACAAUGUGGAUCAUCGCUAUUUCUGAUGUUUGCGUUUGGCGAGCUGUCACCAUGUAAUUAAGUCACAAAAGAUAAUUAAUUCACAAAUAUCUAUCCAGGCAAAAAUUAGUCAUCCAUCACAUUUAGCUUGCUCUAGGAGAACAAAUCUUCAACUUGUUCCUAUCACAAAAAAGCAUACACCAAAAAUAGCAUGAAACUAAAGGCCCCAACAUUAGUUCUCCCAACACACGACCAAGGUUCAGCAGUCAAUCAAUUGUCUAGCACGUAGCUAGUGCAACUAUGCCUAAGAAAACAUGGCGCUGACACAAAAAAUAGGUGCAACUCAAGAUUUACGACCAACUAAACAAUAGAGAUCAAACAAACAACCUAGGGAAGAGAUCAACUGAAUAACAAUUUCAAUGAUUACAUCGGAAUUAAAUAUGAUUUGGCUCAAAGAACACGAUGAUUACAACGACGCACAUAGACGGAUAAAACAAUUUCAAGAAAUUAACUGGAUGUCUCAUACUAACCACCAAAGCCAAAUAAAAAAAGAUGAGAUCGGCGCAUGUAGCUGGCCUCCUGGUACAUGGGAGCGAAACGAAUCGAACUGAACCCCAUAUCAAAGAACUGCAUCUUCAUCAUCAUAUCGCUGCAAGAGAAGCUGGUGCCGGGGUAGCCACUCUAGACCAG
rnacentral:lncRNA from 1 species